rnacentral:tRNA from 1 species
GCCCGGUUAGCUCAAUCGGUAGAGCGUGAGACUCUUACAAGAGAUAUGGGGUAAGGUUGCGGGUUCGACCCCCGCAUCGGGCU